AUUGAACGCUGGCGGCAUGCUUUACACAUGCAAGUCGAACGGCAGCGGGGUAGUGCUUGCACUACUGCCGGCGAGUGGCGAACGGGUGAGUAAUAUAUCGGAACGUACCGAGUAAUGGGGGAUAACCAAUCGAAAGAUUGGCUAAUACCGCAUACGUCCUGAGGGAGAAAGCGGGGGAUCGCAAGACCUCGCGUUAUUCGAGCGGCCGAUAACUGAUUAGCUAGUUGGGGGGGUAAAGGCCUACCAAGGCGACGAUCAGUAGCGGGUCUGAGAGGACGAUCCGCCACACUGGGACUGAGACACGGCCCAGACUCCUACGGGAGGCAGCGGUGGGGAAUUUUGGACAAGGGGGGCAACCCUGAUCCAGCCAUGCCGCGUGUAUGAAGAAGGCCUUCGGGUUGUAAAGUACUUUUGUUAGGGAAGAAAAGGGAAGUGCUAAUACCACUGUUUGCUGACGGUACCUAAAGAAUAAGCACCGGCUAACUACGUG
rnacentral:rRNA from 1 species